rnacentral:rRNA from 1 species
AUGGGGGGACCAUCCUCCAAGGCUAAAUACUCCUGAUUGACCGAUAGUGAACCAGUACCGUGAGGGAAAGGCGAAAAGAACCCCGGCGAGGGGAGUGAAAAAGAACCUGAAACCGUGUACGUACAAGCAGUAGGAGCCCCAUCACUCAAGUGCCUCGCACUGAGUGAUGCAAUAACAUCACCGAAAAUAGCGUAGCAUUUGCUAACAAGGUUGGUCGAUUUUUUCAAGCCGUCGCGCAGUGUACCUAGAAGUACACGAGCAACGGAAGUUAAAAAAUCGGGCAAGAUUGAACGCAAAGGCAAGCGGGACAUUUGAGGAUGGGGUGACUGCGUACCUUUUGUAUAAUGGGUCAGCGACUUAUAUUCUGUAGCAAGGUUAACCGUAUAGGGGAGCCGUAGGGAAACCGAGUCUUAACUGGGCGAAUGAGUUGCAGGGUAUAGACCCGAAACCCGGUGAUCUAUCCAUGGGCAGGUUGAAGGUUGGGUAACACUAACUGGAGGACCGAACCGACUAAUGUUGAAAAAUUAGCGGAUGACUUGUGGAUGGGGGUGAAAGGCCAAUCAAAC